UACCCCUUGGAGAACCUGUGGCUCCCUGGCCAUGCUCAGCAUUGCUCCAUGAGUAGCUGGAUGGUGCUGAUGUCCUGGCUGCAUUGCACUCAGACCCAUAACUCAGCACCUCAGACAGGCAAGACCUCACCCUUUACUGGGAUGUCCCUUUAAGAAAAUACUUCUUUCACUUUUGGUUCCAGGGUUCACUUUAGUCCGCUUUCAGUCCUCCCUGUCUUGCAAUGGACAUGCAGAUCUUCCACUUCAGGAAAUGGACAAAUUGGAUAUUUUGGUACCAGAAUCGCUGUUUUGAAAUUCGUGGCACGUGGCUUAACUAUUACUGGGACAAAGAUGACAUCGGUAAGGUUAUCCGUGGCAGCACCAAUCUCAGCAGUGCCAAAGCACAGAGAAUCAACUCGAAGACCCUAUAUUUGUCUAACGAUAAGGUGACAUACUACCUUAAGUCAGACAGUAUAAAGGAAAUGGACGACUUCAUCAGUAGACUUAUGGAGUUAAAGGUCACUGUGACUGACAUAUAGAGGAGCAGAUUCUUGUGCUGAGCAGUGUAUUAAGUAAUUUGUUCAUUGAGAAAAUGAGGAUUUAAUUCCAAAGGCUGUUUUCACUCAUAACCACUGAUUCCUCAAAGCAUAGAAAUGUCCAAAUAUUUGAAAUGAUCUCUUAUUGCAUAGCUGAAAUACAAAAUUUACCCAUCACCUGCUGCUUACCUGCAAGAUAGAAAUGGACGGACAUCAAGUGUGUUGAGAAAUGUAGGACGUGAAACGCAGGAAAAGUAGUAGAAGUCUUCAGCUUAGAAAAUAUAACAUUCUUUGCAACUGCUGAUGCAAACAUUACCUUUGGAGAAGCUCCAUUUAGUAAUUACUGAUAAAUGGGAAUGAAUAUUGGCUUUAGCUCACACGAGGCAUAGACAAAAUGCAAACUAGUUACCUUUGGAUUCUGAAUGUUUUGUAAUGUCAUUUUCCACCUGCUUUUCUUAACUGACCAAGCUUUUCACAAUUUAAUUUUACAGAUUUACAUGUUUACAGAUUUAAUUCUAUGGAUUUAAUUUUUCAAACUUUAACACACGGAAAUGUCCACAGAAGAUAGCUUUUUCUAGACUCUGAUGUCGAAAGGCUCUUAAACUGGUUUCUCAUUAUUACAGCAUUGCUUUGUAUUCACUGAGGCUUGCCCAGUCCUUGUUUUGCUUUUUUAAAGGAUAACAAAGAUGAGGAUGUGUAAUGGAUGGGAACCUGGCUGAGAAUUGGUUCCCUCUCAUGACUGAGACACAUAACACAGUAUGUUUUUGUCACAGUGUAUUCGGUGGAGUAUGUAUGUGUAUGUUCAUCAUGCCUGUUUAUGGGAAAGAGGCAGGAAAACAGAGGUGUGCAGCUGUCCUAUGACCUUCCUGUGUGGCUGCACCAGGGCGCCUGGCCAAUGCUCUUGGUGUGGACAACAGUGAGAUCAUGAGAAACUGCACGUCCACACGAGCAAACAAUGACAGAGCUGGCAUAAAGCCCAUUGUGUUUCUAAGGGUAUAAAAGCAGGACCUUCUUGUAGCCAAAUCUGAUCCUGAGACUCCCAGUAUUAGCUGCAACAGGGGUUCCCAGCUGGAAGUGUGGGCCUGGAUGAUGAUUCGGUGGUGAUUGGUGAUGUAUUUCUUCUUAUUCUCUGUUCUAUCUAUGCAGUAAUGAUGUGAUGCAUUGAUAAUUUUCCUCUGCACUUAUAUAUACAUAUGUAUCUCUGAUUUGCUUUAUUGUACUUAUUUACUAUAUACAUAGAGAUAUAUACACAA